CCUUGAUGUGUAGGAUAGGUGGGAGGCUUUGAAGCGCGGACGCAGUCUGCGUGGAGCCAUCCUUGAAAUACCACCCUUUAAUGUUUGAUGUUCUAACGUAGGCCCGUGAUCCGGGCUGCGGACAGUGUCUGGUGGGUAGUUUGACUGGGGCGGUCUCCUCCCAAAGCGUAACGGAGGAGCACGAAGGUUGGCUAAUCCUGGUCGGACAUCAGGAGGUUAGUGCAAUGGCAUAAGCCAGCUUGACUGCGAGAGUGACGGCUCGAGCAGGUGCGAAAGCAGGUCAUAGUGAUCCGGUGGUUCUGAAUGGAAGGGCCAUCGCUCAACGGAUAAAAGGUACUCCGGGGAUAACAGGCUGAUACCGCCCAAGAGUUCAUAUCGACGGCGGUGUUUGGCACCUCGAUGUCGGCUCAUCACAUCCUGGGGCUGAAGUAGGUCCCAAGGGUACGGCUGUUCGCCGUUUAAAAGUGGUACGCGAGCUGGGUUUAGAACGUCGUGAGACAGUUCGGUCCCUAUCUGCCGUGGGCGCUGGAGAAUUGAGGGGGGGCUGCUCCUAGUACGAGAGGACCGGAGUGGACGCAUCACUGGUGUUCGGGUUGUCAUGCCAAUGGCACUGCCCGGUAGCUAAAUGCGGAAGAGAUAAGUGCUGAAAAGCAUCUAAGCACGAAACUUGCCCCCGAGAUGAGUUCUCCCUGACCC
rnacentral:rRNA from 1 species